GGAUCCCCUCCUUUCU
rnacentral:rRNA from 1 species